rnacentral:rRNA from 1 species
CACGUAUUUAGCCGUUCCUUUCUGGUAAGAUACCGUCACACACUGAACAGUUACUCUCAGUGCCGUUCUUCUCUUAUAACAGCGUUUUACGAGCCGAAACCCUUCAUCACACACGCGGCGUUGCUCCAUCAGGCUUGCGCCCAUUGUGGAAGAUUCCCUACUGCUGCCUCCCGUAGGAGUAUGGGCCGUGUCUCAGUCCCAUUGUGGCCGAUCAGUCUCUCAACUCGGCUAUGCAUCAUUGCCUUGGUAAGCCAUUACCUUACCAACUAGCUAAUGCACCGCGGGUCCAUCUCUUAGUGAUAGCAGAACCAUCUUUCAAUCAACAACCAUGCGGUUGUUGAUUGUUAUACGGUAUUAGCACUUGUUUCCAAAUUGUUAUCCCUGCUAAGAGGUAGGUUACCACGUGUUACUCACCCGUUCGCCACUCUUUAGAAAUACAAAAAUCAAAUCAAGAGCAAGCUCAUCAAUAUACAAUUAAGCAACAAAGCGUUACGUAC